UACGGAGGAUCCGAGCGUUAUCCGGAUUUAUUGGGUUUAAAGGGUGCGCAGGCGGGAGAUUAAGUCGGCGGUGAAAUUUUGCAGCUCAACUGUAAAAGUGCCUUCGAAACUGGUUUCCUUGAGUGUAGAUGAAGUAGGCGGAAUUUGUGGUGUAGCGGUGAAAUGCUUAGAUAUCACGAGGAACUCCGAUUGCGUAGGCAGCUUACUAAACUACUACUGACGCUCAGGCACGAAGGCGUGGGGAUCAAACAGGAUUAGAUACCCGCGUAGUCCCUGA
rnacentral:rRNA from 1 species